GAUGAACGCUGGCGGCGUGCCUAAUACAUGCAAGUCGAGCGAACGGACGAGAAGCUUGCUUCUCUGAUGUUAGCGGCGGACGGGUGAGUAACACGUGGAUAACCUACCUAUAAGACUGGGAUAACUUCGGGAAACCGUAGCUAAUACCGGAUAAUAUUUUGAACCGCAUGGUUCAAAAGUGAAAGACUGUCUUGCUGUCACUUAUAGAUGGAUCCGCGCUGCAUUAGCUAGUUGGUAAGGUAACGGCUUACCAAGGCAACGAUGCAUAGCCGACCUGAGAGGGUGAUCGGCCACACUGGAACUGAGACACGGUCCAGACUCCUACGGGAGGCAGCAGUAGGGAAUCUUCCGCAAUGGGCGAAAGCCUGACGGAGCAACGCCGCGUGAGUGAUGAAGGUCUUCGGAUCGUAAAACUCUGUUAUUAUGGAAGAACAUAUGUGUAAGUAACUGUGCACAUCUUGACGGUACCUAAUCAGAAAGCCACGGCUAACUACGUG
rnacentral:rRNA from 1 species